GUGUUGGUGGUCUCUUAACGCCA
rnacentral:siRNA from 1 species